AUCCAGCUGACGAGUCCCAAAUAGGACGAAGUGACGCGAGUCCUGUAU
rfam:Schistosoma rodhaini strain Burundi genome assembly, scaffold: SROB_scaffold0001208